rnacentral:rRNA from 1 species
ACGGAAGGCAGCAGUGGGGAAUAUUGCACAAUGGAGGAAACUCUGAUGCAGCGACGCCGCGUGAGCGAAGAAGUAUUUCGGUAUGUAAAGCUCUAUCAGCAGGGAAGAAAAUGACGGUACCUGACUAAGAAGCCCCGGCUAACUACGUGCCAGCAGCCGCGGUAAUACGUAGGGGGCAAGCGUUAUCCGGAUUUACUGGGUGUAAAGGGAGCGUAGACGGCAAGGCAAGUCUGAUGUGAAAGGUGGGGGCUUAACUCCCAAACUGCAUUGGAAACUGUCUGGCUUGAGUGCCGGAGAGGUAAGCGGAAUUCCUAGUGUAGCGGUGAAAUGCGUAGAUAUUAGGAGGAACACCAGUGGCGAAGGCGGCUUACUGGACGGUAACUGACGUUGAGGCUCGAAAGCGUGGGGAGCAAGCAGGAUUAGAUACCCUGGUA